UCGCCUGUUUUUUACAAAAACAUCGCCUCUUGAUUAAACAUAAGAGGUCCAGCCUGCCCAGUGACAUAGUUUAACGGCCGCGGUACCCUAACCGUGCGAAGGUAGCAUAAUCACUUGUUCUUUAAAUAGGGACUCGUAUCAACGGCAUCACGAGGGCUAUACUGUCUCCUUUCUCCAAUCAAUGAAACUGAUCUCCCCGUGAAGAAGCGGGGAUUAACCUAUAAGACGAGAAGACCCCAUGGAGCUUCAAACUCAACAUAUACCUCUACGCACUUAAACCACUUUAGCCCAAGAGACCUCUAUGUUAGUUUUGGGUUGGGGGGACCGCGGAGUAAAAAUUAACCUCCACGACAAACGGGCUUUAUGCCCUUAUCCACGAACCACAGCUCUAAGAAUCAAUAAACUGAUGUUUAUGACCCGAUUAUUCGAUCAACGAACCAAGUUACCCUGGGGAUAACAGCGCAAUCUACUUCAAGAGCCCCUAUCGACAAGUAGGUUUACGACCUCGAUGUUGGAUCAGGGUAUCCUAGUGGUGCAGCCGCUACUAAUGGUUCGUUUGUUCAACGAUUAAAACCCUACGUGAUCUGAUUCCCAGACCGGA
rnacentral:rRNA from 1 species